rnacentral:lncRNA from 1 species
UGUGCCCUUCACUGCGUCCCCAAGCCUUUCAAGAACCCCCUCCAAAUCACAGAUUACAUCAUUCCCAGAAUUCCCAAAGAACAGCUCCUUCAGUUCAGGGAUCACCUCAGCAAGUGCCUCAUACAUGUCAAGAAUCCGGGAGAGCUUCUCCGGCGAGCGAGAGCACACCGCCACAGCAUCACCAAAGUUAAGAAUCUGCAUUAUGCAACCCUUGGUAGAUUCAACAAAACACUCAUCACGCAGCUCAUCAGACACGGCGAGCACCUGAUCACAGAUCCGGCGCUCACCGGUCAGCAGGGAACGCACGACCGUCUUGACCCCAUGCACCCAUUUCUUCAUCUUGUCAUUCAGAAGCUUCCACUCCAUGCGCUGCACUUCAUCGAUGCUGAGGCGUUCGACCCCGAGCACCGCGAGGCACUCGUCGAGCAGGUCACGUCGGACGCCACAGUAGACCUGCUCGAGCUCACUGGCAUACCCCGCGCGGUCCAUCCUUUGAGCGAUGGAGCGCAGAUCGGAGAGGCGGCGCAGCGAGCAGAAGAGCCCGCUCGCGUCCAGCGGCACCGCGUGGCGGACCAUGAGGUGGCGGAGCUCCUCCUCCAUCCGCGCCAUCGCGAGCUGCACCACGACGCCCGCCGCCUCGGCCUCGGCGUCGGCGGCGGCGGCCCCCACCCCGGAGAGCAGCUGGUCGACGGCGACGUCGACCGCCUCGAGUCGGCGACGUCCCCCUCGGGGCCCUCGAACACCAGCAGCUCCGGGGUCGCGUCCCACUGCCGGAUGAGCCUCUCCGCGGCCUCGAACGCCCCCCGCGGCGGCGGAGGCGGAGGCGGGGUGGGCCCGGCGCCCGACGACGGCGAGGGCGAGGGGAAGAGGUCGGCGGUGAUGGAGGAGAAGCGGUGGUCGAAGCCGGAGAGGAUGCGGAUCAUGUCGUCCGCGGCGUUCUUCGACGUGGCCAGCGACUUCACGAUGUGCUGCGCCGCCGCGAGCACCUUGUCGUUCCCCACUCCUCCCGCCGCGGCGGGGGGUUCCUCCGCCACCUCCAGCUCCUCCGGCUGGGGAUGGGGCGGCGCGGGCGGCGCCGACAUCGCCGGCGGCGGCGAGGGAGCUAGGGUUAAGUGA